CAGAAAUUGACAUGAUUAUACUGGCCAGCCUAUUGAGAAAAUAGAGCGGCAAACCGAAAGGGAUCGUUUUUUCUCUUCUGCCGAGGCUUUGGAGUUUGGUUUAAUUGAUGGUGUGUUGGAAACUGAAUACUGAAAUUCAAAGAUUGGCAACAGGAUAAUGAUAACUCUAUGCAUUUGAAUUGCCAUGGUACACAGACUGGUCGAGAUAACUCGCUAUUCUAAACAUUAAACCAAACUUUUAAAGUAGAAGGAUCAUUGAUCUUGAGCUCUGCGAAGUAAAGUUUUACGUUUAAAUACCAAUAUUGGAGGUGUAAUUUUGGCUGUCUGUAAAGAGGGCAUUUCACGAAAAUGCAGCAUUUAUGAAAUUACUUACAAUCUAAUCUUUGUACAAAAGACACUGUUGUUUGUUAUGGAUCAUUCCAUCUUUAAAGAAAAAAACUUUAGUGA